GUGAAUGCCCUUUUUACUUAUCGGGUCUUCUCGAACGAAGAGACAAGCGCUACACAAAGGGCCCACAAAGUUUCAAAAGAGUUCAAAGCUUCAUGCCCACUACUAUUCUGGUCGGUCCGCAGAUGACAGGUUGGCAGGGGUAAAAUAGGUAUUACGAUCUCUUCUUGUGGUUGUUUUCCUUUUUUCACCGAAUGAGAGUGGUGGGUACUGCUCCGAGAUGGACUAUGUGAUCUUUUAUAUCUAAACUGGGACAGUGUUGUAUGAAUAGCACACCCACUUAUAUCUUUUUGGUUGAAUGGGGUAACGAGACUUCUAUUAAUAUUUUACUUUUUUACCUAUGUAUAUAUAUGUGACUAUCAAUUCUCAACAUACAAUAUCCAACUUUUUUAAUUUUCUUUUUCAGAUGAAUCUUUUACAUAAUACUGAAUUGAUUGAAUACAUUUUUAAAUAUGUGAUUGUUGAUAUAUGUGUGAGUAUCAUCAUACAAUCGACAAAAUGUGUGAUUAUCUUUGUUAUGGCCUAACUUGUGAGUAGCUUAGUAACUAGUAUUCACUAAAAGAGUAUAUAUAUGAUCAAAUAUGCAAGAAGUAAAUUAAAUGACCACAUACUGAAUGGUUUACGAACUUCUUAGUAAUUAACACUUGGGAUGUUUUAUGUUUAUAGCGCUUUCACUUUGAGGAAUUUGUGUUCAGGAGCUUGCGAGAUUCUUGAAUGCAUAAAGAUAACGAUAAUGUUAUUUUCUUGGACUAACUAAUCAUCCUCUAUGUACAAUCAAAUUUCUAGGACUAUUUAAUCUCUGGUCCACUCGUUACUCUAAGCUUAAAUAAGGUAAAAUAAAUAAAUAAACAAAAAGACUAAACUAUCUAAAAACAUUAUCUAAAUUCUCAAGCUCUUACAUCGCUCAUUAAAUGUGAUCCAGAAAAAACUAAAGAACCUUAAAAAGUUGGCUAAUGAAUAUCAAAAUUCAAUAUCUACAGCCAAAAACCUGAAAAACAACACAAUUUUUUUUACAUAAGCUAGUCACCAUGACACCAUCUCUCUCUCUCUCUAUAUAUAUAUGCAUAUAUACAUGUAUGUAAGAUAUGGUGAGAUAUGAAGAAACAGUUAGCUUUCCCUGACUCCCAUGAAGACAAUGACCCAACAUCACCACCAUCAUCAUCAUUCAUCAUAUAUCAUCAUCAUCACCAUCUCUUUUUGUUUGUCCCUUCUUUGAACCACCACUUGCUAAUACCUACUGGCUACAUACAGCUACUUCUCCCUUUUCUAUAAAUUACUGUUUUUUCACUUAUACUCUCAGCACUACUAGGUUUGGGAAGGUUCAAAAGAAGACCUAGCUAGGGUUUUCAGAAACUCACAAAAAUCUAAGCUGGUGAAAUCUCAAUUAAGAUCCAUUAACUUUCAGCCUUUGUCUCUCUCUCUCUCCUGGUAGCUUCUUCUUGACAAGACCCAUCAGUGGUCUUGCUUGUACAGUAAAGCUUGCUUCGUUCUGCGAAGUUUCAAACAUAUCACUCAGCAUCCGAACCUUGUAAGUUAAUUCAUACAUACAUGUAUAUACUUACAUUAUUUAACAUUCUACUUCACUGCUUAUACAGUUAUAAAUACAUGCAAAUACCAUUUCAAACUAAAGUACAUAGGAAGCUGUCUUAGUUUGGUUACAUUUGUCUUGUUGUCGAUGGCCCAUUAUGACCAGUAAGUGCAUGUGCUUGAAACUAUAUUCCAUGCCUGUGUUUUCUUCUGUAGAAUCAACUGAACCCAAACCUGCUUUUUAUAAGUGUGUGGCCCUUUAGUGUUUCAAUCAUGUAUCUAUGAAGCGAGACUGAAAUAGAUAGAUAUAGAAGGAGAUUCUUUCAGUCCAGUCAUGGAUAGAACAAGAAGAGGGUAGAAACAUCUGCCGACUCAUCCAUCCAAACACUUCUGGUAAAAGAAAAGAGAUUUUAUACCACAGUGGCUGUGUGAAUGAUGCGGGAGAUGUUUUCAUCUCUCUUUAUCUGUGUUUGGACUGAAGGGAGCUCCUUCUUAAUUUACAUCUUUCAAUUUUUCUCAUGAUCUUUUAAUUUAUCAAAACAGAUUUGUAUUUUAGGACGUUGAUCACAAGUUCAAUAAUGACAAUGAAUUGGAUAGAGAUUCACAUUCUUUUACCUCUCUCUAAUGAAUUUAAGUAAGCAAUAUAUAUAUAUAUAACCAGGUGAUUUAGUAUUUGAUGUCAAACAAUCUAGCAACUAUUCCCUAGCUAGUGUUGUAUUUAAAGGUAUAGUCAAAUUUACAAGUAGCCAAUUUCUCCCAUGGAUAGCUAUACACAGUGUAAGGUGUAUAGAUAAACUCGUGUACUUCUUGUUUUGGGAAUUGAAAUGACGACAUAAUAUGGGGAGAGAGAUUGUGUUCUUGCCUUAUUCGUAUUUUGUAAAAUAAGUAAUUUUGUACUUGUAAUUUUAUGUUCCCAAUGACUGGAGAUGCAGCAUGAAUGGUUCAGAACUUAACAUCGUUGCUGUUUGCAUUCAGACGACAAUAUAUAAAUUUUAUAUUUGAAAUGACUACUCCUCUGGUUUUAAAAGUUGGAUUUCAACUUUUUUAUUUUAUAUAUUUCAGAAUUCUGUAUAUUUUCCAUUUGGUUCGUAUAUCUCUUGAAGCAUCAUGAUUCAUGAUGAGUAUCUAGCCGGUAACAGAAUAAAAUUUGAUACUGUUUGGAUGUAUAUAAUGUCAUUAAAAAGCUCGCAUUAUAAAAUAAAAUAUAGACCUCGUGCACGAUCUCGAGUUGGUAUUUAAUAUUGUCUUCAAAGGUAAUUGUGUUGCAGUGUCUGCAAUAAUACAGAUAUGGAAACGCAGCAAGUGGUUAUAAAUGGAAAAUUCAGCUCAUCUGAUCUCCAACUAACCAAUAGUUUUAAGAGAAAAAGGCAUCAUCAUAGCAUCAUUUGGUCGAAGGAAUGGAAUAAAUAACAAUAUAUGGAUUAGGGUUUAGGAAUUACUUUAGUUCAGGCCGGUUACGGACAAAAUGUUUCAUCUUUUUACGUGUAGCCAACAAACAUGUUUCAAUUUCCCGAAACCCAUCACGUUUUAAGCUUCAUGUAUUUCGAGAGUUCUUGUACAUGUUAUAUACUGGGAGAAUUCUAAUUCCAAACUCAUUUAUGAAAUAAUUAAUAUUACCAAAUAGUAAUAUUUAUCUACC